GUAUAGGUUUAUAGGCACAAAGGCCCAUUAAUUACAUUCUAUAACAUACAUUGGGGUAUAUGAAGAAAACAUAGACCUGGAAAUGUAAGGAGAGACAAGGAUAGUCAGUCCUCAAACCUGAACACCAAAAGGCAUUCAGAAAGCUACCCAGGUCUACAAAGUGUGCACAGGUGGAGAUAUAAAGAUGACGGGCGUGCACAUGUCCCCAUAGAGAACCAGCAACAACCCAUCAGGUUUAUUUCAAUAAUGAUCCUUCCGCAGGUUCACCUACGGAAA
rnacentral:misc_RNA from 1 species